GACGAACGCUGGCGGCGUGCCUAAUACAUGCAAGUAGAACGCUGAACGAGGAGCUUGCUUCUCUGGAUGAGUUGCGCACGGGUGAGUAACGCGUAGGUAACCUGCCUGGUAGCGGGGGAUAACUAUUGGAAACGAUAGCUAAUACCGCAUAAGAGUAGAUGUUGCAUGACAUUUGCUUAAAAGGUGCAAUUGCAUCACUACCAGAUGGACCUGCGUUGUAUUAGCUAGUUGGUGAGGUAACGGCUCACCAAGGCAACGAUACAUAGCCGACCUGAGAGGGGGAACGGCCACACUGGGACUGAGACACGGCCCAGACUCCUACGGGAGGCAGCAGUAGGGAAUCUUCGGCAAUGGACGGAAGUCUGACCGAGCAACGCCGCGUGAGUGAAGAAGGUUUUCGGAUCGUAAAGCUCUGUUGUAAGGGAAGAACGAGUGUGGGAGUGGAAAGUUCACACUGUGACGGUAUCUUACCAGAAAGGGACGGCUAACUACGUG
rnacentral:rRNA from 1 species